CAGGCUUAACACAUGCAAGUCGAGGGGCAGCACAGGUAGCAAUACCGGGUGGCGACCGGCGCACGGGUGAGUAACGCGUAUGCAACUUACCUAUCAGAGGGGGAUAACCCGGCGAAAGUCGGACUAAUACCGCAUGAAGCAGGGGUCCCGCAUGGGGAUAUUUGCUAAAGAUUCAUCGCUGAUAGAUAGGCAUGCGUUCCAUUAGGCGGUUGGCGGGGUAACGGCCCACCAAACCGACGAUGGAUAGGGGUUCUGAGAGGAAGGUCCCCCACAUUGGUACUGAGACACGGACCAAACUCCUACGGGAGGCAGCAGUGAGGAAUAUUGGUCAAUGGCCGAGAGGCUGAACCAGCCAAGUCGCGUGAGGGAUGAAGGUUCUAUGGAUCGUAAACCUCUUUUAUAAGGGAAUAAAGUGCGGGACGUGUCCCGUUUUGUAUGUACCUUAUGAAUAAGGAUCGGCUAACUCCGUGCCAGCAGCCGCGGUAAUACGGAGGAUCCGAGCGUUAUCCGGAUUUAUUGGGUUUAAAGGGUGCGUAGGCGGCCUUUUAAGUCAGCGGUGAAAGUCUGUGGCUCAACCAUAGAAUUGCCGUUGAAACUGGGGGGCUUGAGUAUGUUUGAGGCAGGCGGAAUGCGUGGUGUAGCGGUGAAAUGCAUAGAUAUCACGCAGAACCCCGAUUGCGAAGGCAGCCUGCCAAGCCAUUACUGACGCUGAUGCACGAAAGCGUGGGGAUCAAACAGGAUUAGAUACCCUGGUAGUCCACGCAGUAAACGAUGAUCACUAGCUGUUUGCGAUACACUGUAAGCGGCACAGCGAAAGCGUUAAGUGAUCCACCUGGGGAGUACGCCGGCAACGGUGAAACUCAAAGGAAUUGACGGGGGCCCGCACAAGCGGAGGAACAUGUGGUUUAAUUCGAUGAUACGCGAGGAACCUUACCCGGGUUUGAACGCAUUCGGACCGAGGUGGAAACACCUUUUCUAGCAAUAGCCGUUUGCGAGGUGCUGCAUGGUUGUCGUCAGCUCGUGCCGUGAGGUGUCGGCUUAAGUGCCAUAACGAGCGCAACCCUUGCCACUAGUUACUAACAGGUAAAGCUGAGGACUCUGGUGGGACUGCCAGCGUAAGCUGCGAGGAAGGCGGGGAUGACGUCAAAUCAGCACGGCCCUUACAUCCGGGGCGACACACGUGUUACAAUGGCGUGGACAAAGGGAAGCCACCUGGCGACAGGGAGCGAAUCCCCAAACCACGUCUCAGUUCGGAUCGGAGUCUGCAACCCGACUCCGUGAAGCUGGAUUCGCUAGUAAUCGCGCAUCAGCCAUGGCGCGGUGAAUACGUUCCCGGGCCUUGUACACACCGCCCGUCAAGCCAUGGGGGCCGGGGGUACCUGAAGUCCGUAACCGCGAGGAUCGGCCUAGGGUAAAACUGGUGACUGGGGCUAAGUCGUA
rnacentral:rRNA from 1 species